GGGCCGGUGGUCUAGUGGCUAUGACGCCGCCCUUACGAGGCGGAGGUCGUGGGUUCGAGUCCCACCCGGCCCA
rnacentral:tRNA from 1 species